rnacentral:pre_miRNA from 1 species
ACACAUCACCACCAUCUGCUUCAUACACAUCACCACCAUCUACUUCAAGAUGGUGGUGAUGUGUAUGAAGUAGAUGGUGGUGAUGUGUAUGAAGUAGAUGGUGGUGAUGUGCA